AAUAUUGGACAAUGGGGGCAACCCUGAUCCAGCCAUGCCGCGUGUGUGAAGAAGGUCUUCGGAUUGUAAAGCACUUUAAGUUGGGAGGAAGGGCUUUAUGUUAAUACCCUGAAGUUUUGACGUUACCAACCGAAUAAGCACCGGCUAACUCGGUGCCAGCAGCCGCGUUAAUACAGAGGGUGCAAGCGUUAAUCGGAAUUACUGGGGGUAAAGCGGGCGUAGGUGGUUCAGUAAGAUGGGUGUGAAAUCCCGGGGGUUAACCUGGGAACUGCUUUCAUAACUGCUGAGCUAGAGGACGGUAGAGGGUAGUGGAAUUUCCUGUGUAGCGGUGAAAUGCGUAGAUAUAGGAAGGAACACCAGUGGCGAAGGCGACUACCUGGACUGAUACUGACACUGAGGUGCGAAAGCGUGGGGAGCAAAC
rnacentral:rRNA from 1 species